UCGUGAGAUGUUGGGUUAAGUCCCGCAACGAGCGCAACCCUUGCCCUAUGUUGCCAGCGGAUCAUGCCGGGGACUCAUGGGGGACUGCCGGUGAUAAACCGGACGAAGGUGGGGAUGACGUCAAGUCAUCAUGGCCCUUACGCCCAGGGCUACACACGUGCUACAAUGGCCGACACAAAGGGCUGCAACCCCGCGAGGGUGAGCGAAUCCCAAAAAGUCGGUCUAAGUUCGGAUUGUAGUCUGCAACUCGACUACAUGAAGUCGGAAUCGCUAGUAAUCGUGAAUCAGCCACGUCACGGUGAAUACGUUCCCGGGCCUUGUACACACCGCCCGUCACGCCAUGGAAGCUGGGAGUGCCCGAAGUCCGUGACCCAACCCUCGGGAGGGAGCGGCCGAAGGCAAGCUUAGUAACUGGGGCGAAGUCGUAACAAGGUAGCCGUAGGGGAACCUGCGGCUGGAUCACCUCCUUUCUGGA
rnacentral:rRNA from 1 species